GGAAGUGAAAGGUAAAGUUGC
rnacentral:siRNA from 1 species